UUUUAGCCCUGAUCGAAGCGGCAUCCUUUUUUGCUUUUUAAAGAAUUUCCUUUUAAUACAGAUUUACAUAAAAGCAAAAAAGAUACAGCGGAGAGCGGGACGGGUA
rnacentral:sRNA from 1 species